GACGAACGCUGGCGGCGUGCUUAACACAUGCAAGUCGAGCGGUAAGGCCCUUUCGGGGGUACACGAGCGGCGAACGGGUGAGUAACACGUGGGUGACCUGCCCUUAGCUCUGGGAUAAGCCUGGGAAACUGGGUCUAAUACCGGAUAUGACUCCAUGACGCAUGUUGUGGGGUGGAAAGCCUUGUGCGGCUAGGGAUGGGCCCGCGGCCUAUCAGCUUGUUGGUGGGGUGANGGCCUACCAAGGCGACGACGGGUAGCCGGCCUGAGAGGGCGACCGGCCACACUGGGACUGAGACACGGCCCAGACUCCUACGGGAGGCAGCAGUGGGGAAUCUUGCGCAAUGGGCGAAAGCCUGACGCAGCGACGCCGCGUGAGGGAUGACGGCCUCGG
rnacentral:rRNA from 1 species